AGAUCCCUGAGGAUCCCAGACACCCAGGGAUCUCAGAUCCCUGAGGAUCCCAGACACCCAGGGAUCUCAGAUCCCUGAGGAUCCCAGACACCCAGCUUUAAGUAUAAGGAACUAGUAGUAGGUUUAUUCCAUGCUAAAAAGAGAAGAGAUAAAACACAACAUUUCGGCUGUGAAUAAACCUAUUACUUGCAGAAUACGCAUGCCGACGCAGCUGCCCACCUGAACUGGUUUAAAUAUAAGGGCCCAUUUCAUUCCCCGCUGAAGUGCUGCUCCUCUUGGGGGGCCCAGCAGCCCUGCUGCCCAGCAGAUCAGGGGGAGGGGUGAGAAACUGCAGCGCCAAUUGAAUCAAGGGGGGGGGGGGACAAAGCGUGCAAGCGCCACCUACUGGUCCACCAGCACCACUUCCCGUAAUAAUUGAGCUUUCCUCAGUAGUUUCUCAUCCCAGGUCAGGCUCACGUUUUCCUUAGCUCCUGAUCAGACUGCAAGCUAGGAGCACUGGACUUCACAGGUAUGAGAACGUAAGACAGGCUACAAAGCGGCUUAGUCUGAGUGCUGUCAUCAUGCAGCCUUUCUCGAGAUCUAGGAAAUUAUUUGGGCAAAUUAGAGAAAAAAGUGCAGGAAAAUGAGCCCCAGACCUGUGAAGUCUCGGCAGGGGAAUAUGUCCUCGUGAUCUGUGUUGUCCAGAUGGUGGUGAGUAACAUCCUAGUAUAGACAAGCACCUCAAUCCCUGACACCCCAGCAGCUCCUCCCCCACCUCCCCAGACAAGAAGAGGAAAUCGGCUCACGGGUUUUCAAAAGUCGCCCGGUUCACACCACUGUUCGGCCAGCCUGAAACCCAGACAUCUCCCUUUCCUGCUCCCAGAUCAGUGUGCUGCAGUCAGAGCUGGAGACCCUGUCGACCCAGACAGCCUCCCUCAGAGAAGAGACGCGCUUGCUGAGGGAGCAGAUCCAGGACGUCAGGAAACAGCAUCGGGACAUAGUUUCAGUGUACAGGACUCACCUGCUGAGCGCAGCACAGGUAAUGUCCAUAAAGAUACAUGUUCUCUCACAGGCAGACACAUAAAUGCAUUUAGUGACUAAGCCUGCUGUAGACGUAAUGCAUUGGUCACCCCCAGUUUCUCAACAAAAUAAUAACCCAAACCUGGACAAUCGUUGAUUCCCCAGGACAAUUCCUGGUUCUGCAGAGCCACACUCCAGAGCAUUUUAAUUGGCCACCUUACAAAGACCUGGAGAUCAUGUAAUUGUUUUAUCUAUAUAUAGCAAAUAAUCCAUGCGAUGAGUCAGUAAUUUGUUAUGGGCAAGCUGGAAACCUUCGGGUAAGGAAAAAACGUUUUUUUUCCAAAUCAUCCCUCAAUUAAGCAUCUUUAUUUUACAGAUUCAAGCUAUUUGUUCCACAUCUUUAGGACGUUUCAACAUUUCAGCGCGUGAUCUGUGAAUCCUGCUGCCACUCUGGCACUUAACGGAACAGACAGCUCCCACAGCGCCACCCAGUGGUGGGCAACAGUAAUAGCCUUUCUUCUUCUGCAGGGAAUGAUGGACGAGGAGGUCUACUCCAUGCUUCUGUGCAUCCAUGGCAUGCAGAGAGAGGCUGUGUGCUGAGAGACUGACACCAUCCCCACUCCCACAAUGCACUCCUCCAAGUCAGAGCCCACACUUCCCCUUGACCAAUAAGGACUGUGGAAGACAGCAGACGUGCAUGGAGAGGGUACUGUGAUUGAUGGACACUGUGGUCUAAGACAGCAGCAUAUGAAGGCACCCAGAUCCCUGUAUAUGAAGCAGUCCUGACUGAUCACUGUUACCAUGUUUUUCUCCAUAUCAAACUGAAGCCUGUUCACUGUUGUCUCUGGUUUCUCCUUACACUGUGACAUAACCACAAAAAGUGCUGAAAUGUUUGUUCUUCAGAUUAAAUGUCUCACUCUGAUUGGGGGUGAUUGCACUUUGUUUUUCACAUAAUCUAACACUGCUCCAAACUUUUACGUUUUUUGCACGUUUAUCCAUUUCCGUAAAAUAAUUUAAAAUUGCUUUGGAUCAAGUGCAUUCUCAUAUGUUGGCUUCAGGCGUGUUACCCCAGCAUUGUGACCAAAUUCCCCCCCUGGCCCUUACCAAUCACACCCUCCUAAUAACCCCCCUCUCUGAACUGGCUUCUUCACUCUGCUCUCCUCCCCACUGAGAGCUGGUGUGUGGGGAGCGGACUGGCACAUCAUCCAGGUGGGGCUCCACACUGGUGCUGGUGGAGAGGAUCCCCAUUACAUGCAAACUCCAUACAGACAGCACUCCAGGUCUGCCUAUGGCUCGACUGGUAAUCUCUAUAAGAACAUAAUACAUCAAUCCUCUCUGAUUCAGAUGAAAAGAUGCCUGUCUAUAUACAUACUGUAAGCGCUGGCCCUAAAGUAAAGUAAAGUGCUUUGAGUGGAGUGUCCAGAGCUGUUUGAGAAAAGCACUACAUUACUACUGCUGAUGUCUGCCGUUGUGCUCUGCUGCCAACUGCUUGCUUGUCUUGUAAAACACACUCAACUGGUUGUUUGAUGGAGACAUCAAAGAUCAAUCACCAAUUUGAAGUUAUAAAAGGGUGGAUUAUGAUGCAAGAGUGCUGUGCUCCAUGCCCUUGACUUCAUAGUUCUGGUAACAGAGGUCACCUCCAACCGAUAAUGUAUUUGCUACAAAUGAAAGAAAAUACAUUCUGAUUGUGAUUGCACUGGAUAGUUACAUCUCAUUUCCUAUCAGCAA
rnacentral:lncRNA from 1 species